rnacentral:rRNA from 1 species
AGAGUUUGAUCAUGGCUCAGGACGAACGCUGGCGGCGUGCCUAACACAUGCAAGUCGAGCGGGGAGAGAUUUUCGGAUUUCUCUUUAGCGGCGGACGGGUGAGUAACACGUGGGUAACCUGCCUCAAAGAGGGGGAUAGCCUUCCGAAAGGAAGAUUAAUACCGCAUAAUAUCAGGGAGCUGCAUGGUAUUCUGAUCAAAGGAGCAAUCCGCUUUGAGAUGGACCCGCGGCGCAUUAGCUAGUUGGUGAGGUAACGGCCCACCAAGGCGACGAUGCGUAGCCGACCUGAGAGGGUGAUCGGCCACAUUGGAACUGAGACACGGUCCAGACUCCUACGGGAGGCAGCAGUGGGGAAUAUUGCACAAUGGGGGAAACCCUGAUGCAGCAACGCCGCGUGAGUGAUGAAGGCCUUCGGGUCGUAAAGCUCUUUGAUCAGGGACGAUAAUGACGGUACCUGAAAAACAAGCCACGGCUAACUACGUGCCAGCAGCCGCGGUAAUACGUAGGUGGCGAGCGUUGUCCGGAUUUACUGGGCGUAAAGAAUGCGUAGGUGGAUAUUUAAGUGGGAUGUGAAAUCCCCGGGCUCAACCCGGGAACUGCAUACCAAACUGGAUAUCUGGAGUGCAGGAGAGGAAA